rnacentral:sRNA from 1 species
UUUAAUGCGAAAGGGAUAGCAGCGACAUCCUUUUGUUUUAUCAUCACGAACUUGUAGAAGGAAAAAACAAAAGAUAUAGCGGAUAGCCCGACCACGA